rfam:Enhygromyxa salina strain DSM 15201 ES-Contig_34, whole genome shotgun sequence.
GGGGGUGCACUGGCUUUCGACGUGGGUACGAAAGGUGAUGACUGCGUGUCGCGGGUCUUGCGCCGCGUUACAAACGCUCGAAAAACACAGCUGCCAACGACAGCAACUACGGCCGUAUGGCCGUUGCCGCCUAAGGGCGACACGUCUGCGUGUGAGGUGCUCUAGUAGCACGUAGCCGUCAACACGGGAGCUAGCGAGCCGGAAGUCCCGGCCAGCUCGUGAAACAUAGGGACUCGCCUCCGAGAGGGCCUGCUGGCGGGCAUGCUCGAGGGCUAAACUCAAAUAUACCAGCUACGCAUGUAGACGUCUCAUCGGAAGGCUCGCGGACCCGGGUUCGACUCCCGGCGCCUCCACUA